rnacentral:rRNA from 1 species
GACGAACGCUGGCGGCGUGCCUAAUACAUGCAAGUAGAACGCAGUUGCGAACGGGUGAGUAACGCGUAGGUAACCUGCCUAAUAGCGGGGGUUAACUAUUGGAAACGAUAGCUAAUACCGCAUACUGUGAGAUGGAGCUUCGUUGUAUUAGUUAGUUGGUGAGGAAAAGGCUCACCAAGGCGACGAUACCUAGCCGCCCUGAGAGGGUGAUAGGCCACACUGGGACUGAGACACGGCCCAGACUCCUACGGGAGGCAGCAGUGGGGAAUUUUGGACAAGGGGCGAAACCCUGAUCCAGCCAUCCCGCGUGUGCGAUGAAGGCCUUCGGGUUGUAAAGCACUUUUGGCAGGAAAGCGGUACCUGCAGAAUAAGCACCGGCUAACUCCGUGCCAGCAGCCGCGGUAAUAC